rnacentral:sRNA from 1 species
AAAAUGACACAGAGAAGGCUUUGAAAUUCAGCAAUGGCGAUCGAUCAAAGUAGCCGUACAAAAAAAAAAAUGGGAGACGAGAG